GUACGAUAAAGGUAAACCUCGAGUGAUCGGGGGGCACAAAGUAACAGGGUCUUUAAAUAUGCUGAUAUGCACAUAUGUGCUUGAAGCAAUCAAACAGGGAAGUUGUAAAGAUAGCCUUACUGCCGAA
rfam:Planctomycetes bacterium GWA2_40_7 gwa2_scaffold_20008, whole genome shotgun sequence.